GCCGGGUGUGGUGGCACGCACCUGUAAUCCCAGCUACUUAGGAGGCUGAGGCAGGAGAAUCGCUUGAACCCGGGAGCUGGAGGUUGCAGUGAGCCAAGAUUGUGCCACUGCACCCCAGCCUGGGUGACAGAGCGAGACUCUGUCUAAA
ensembl:misc_RNA Metazoa_SRP Metazoan signal recognition particle RNA